rnacentral:tRNA from 1 species
GGAGAGAUGUCCGAGAGGCCGAAGGAGCACGACUGGAAAUCGUGUGUGCGCUAAACCCGCACCGUGGGUUCAAAUCCCACUCUCUCCGCCA